UCCCUUUCACCGUCAUCCAUGAGAAGACACAGUGUUCCAUCCAGAGGAUGUAGCAUCAAGGCGUCAUCUUAAAAGCAGAGAAAAGACUCUUACUUGACACCAGAUGCCAGUGCAUUGAUCUUGGACUUCCCAGCCUCUAGAACUGUAAACAGCCCUGGGACAAAGAACAGACUACGGGUAUUGCCUUCUUAAUCAACAAUAAAGUAUUAGUUGGCUUCCAGGCAGACACCACUGACUUUCAAGAGAAAGGCACGGGAGUAAGGAAGUAAAGAAUUCAGGUGCUGCUUGAAAAUACAACAAACUGUCUUCAGAAUACUUUUAUGUGUUGUUGAAAGAAAGCACUGCAGCUAAUAUAGCUACAAAGGAGAAACAGUUAUUCUUAAAUGUCAUCUAUUUGCUGGACCUGAACAGGAAUUCACUAUGGAGCUCAUACAACUACCACCUUCAGCUAUUAAUCAAGGAGUCAUUCAACUGAGAAAGGGGAGAUUGAGAUGUUGAAUCAUUUCUCAUUCUGUGAAGUCUACCAGAAUAACCCAUAAAGCAAAUAUCAACCUAUUUCAAUUAGAAAAAUGAAAAAUACUGAUACAGCAGACGAAUUCUGGAACUAACACUUCCACAAAUCAUUGAUAAUCCAUUUUCCAACUUCUUCAAAUUCCAGACCAUCAACAAGCUAUUCAAAACAAUAAAUGUUAAUAGUUUUGGUGGAGUUAAGCAGCAGAAGUUAAAAGCAUUGUGGAAGACAGUAUGGUGAUUCCUCAAGGAUCUAGAAGCGGAAAUACCAUUUGACCCAGCAAUC
rnacentral:lncRNA from 1 species